UACGUAGGGUGCAAGCGUUGUUCGGAAUUAUUGGGCGUAAAGCGUCCGCAGGUGGCUGUUCAAGUCUGCUGUCAAAGCGCAGAGCUUAACUCUGUACAGGCGGUGGAAACUGAAGAGCUAGAGUAUGGUAGGGGUAGAGGGAAUUCCCGGUGUAGCGGUGAAAUGCGUAGAUAUCGGGAAGAACACCAGUGGCGAAAGCGCUCUACUGGGCCAUAACUGACACUGAGGGACGAAAGCUAGGGGAGCGAAAGGG
rnacentral:rRNA from 1 species